UACGUAGGGGGCAAGCGUUGUCCGGAUUUAUUGGGCGUAAAGAGCGUGUAGGCGGCCCGAUUAGUCCGCUGUGAAAGUCCAGGGCUCAACCCUGGAAUGCCGGUGGAUACUGUCGGGCUAGAGUCCGGAAGGGGCGAGUGGAAUUCCCUGGUGUAGCGGUGAAAUGCGCAGAUACUCAGGAGGAACACCAAUGGCGAAGGCAGCUCGCUGGGACGUGACUGACGCUGAGACGCGAAAGCGUGGGGAGCAAACAGG
rnacentral:rRNA from 1 species